CACCAGACUCCUACGGGAGGCAGCAGUGGGGAAUAUUGCACAAUGGGGGAAACCCUGAUGCAGCGACGCCGCGUGAGCGAGGAAGUAUUUCGGUAUGUAAAGCUCUGUCAGCAGGGAAGAAGAAUGACGGUACCUGAAGAAGAAGCACCGGCUAAAUACGUGCCAGCAGCCGCGGUAAUACGUAUGGUGCAAGCGUUAUCCGGAUUUACUGGGUGUAAAGGGAGCGCAGGCGGUUCUGCAAGUCUGAUGUGAAAGCCCGGGGCUCAACCCCGGGACUGCAUUGGAAACUGCAGGACUGGAGUGUCGGAGGGGUAAGCGGAAUUCCUGGUGUAGCGGUGAAAUGCGUAGAUAUCAGGAGGAACACCGGCGGCGAAGGCGGCCUGCUGGACCGUGACUGACGUUGAGGCUCGAGAGCGUGGGGAGCAAACAGGAUUAGAUACCCGGGUA
rnacentral:rRNA from 1 species